UUUCCAGUGGCGCAGUUGGUUAGCGCAUGGUACUUAUACGACAGUAAUAAAUGCAAAACUAACAAAAAAUUAAAUAUAGAAAGUAAUGCCGAGGUCGCGAGUUCGAGCCUCGCCUGGAGAA
rfam:Daphnia pulex DAPPTscaffold_24_Cont1460, whole genome shotgun sequence.